rnacentral:lncRNA from 1 species
AUUAGUUUGAGUUGGGUCUCCUGGCACUUACCACAGCAGCCCUUCUCCCUCCCAUCCUACAGUCAGGGAUCUCUGUUCCUGGCGCAUCCAAACCCAUGGCAGCCACAGCACUGUUAACUGCCCUUGAUGGCCAGCGGGCCAGGUCAGCCUUGGCUUGCUCUGUCUUCCCGGCCAAGUGCAUUUUCAUGUAACGCUCUUUUGCCUUCUGCAUCUCAAUCUCUUCUCGUUCUUUCCUCGAAACUGCUGGGAGCCGGGAGAGAAGUUUUCCGUAAAGAUAACUUUGCAGGCUGCAUUCCUGAGCCCUGAGGUCACCUGUGUCACACUGUCCCAAUGUCAGCUCCCAGGGAACUUUCUCCUGGCUAUUCCCAGGGCUGAGGGCUACAUCCCUGCCUCCCCAUUCUCUCUCCCUCCUGCCCCUGACUUACCAGACACCUCCACGUAUCCAUCUUUGGUCUUCACCAUCAACUCCUCUGGCUUGAAGCUGUGCACAUUCACACACACUUUCCAGGGCUCCCCAGGGAAGGGUGGGGGGGUCCUGCCCUCGGCAGGCACCCCAAACCUGGCGGUGGCAG